ACUCCUGCCACAGGGAAAGAUGUGAAGAUAAUUUGGCCCCCUGCUGGUCCUGCAGGGGUGGUCCCUCUGUUUGGUGACAGCUCUGCCUGCCAUCAAGUUGAAGUGAUCUGGCUGGAGAUCAGUGUAGUGCUGGUGAGGGAUGUGUCUGACUCCAUUCCAGACCUUGCUCAAGGAAAGGUGUUUUUGAAGGUGCUUUUCCAUCUCCCAGAUUCUGUGUCUGGUUGGAUACCAAGACAAAACGGAGCCAACUUGGGCGCUCCCCAGAGCGUUACCACCUUCCACGUGACCUGUCCUGCUCCAUCGUGGUCACUGCAUGUGGGAAUGCUCCGUGGCAAUCUCCAAGUUCCUCCUCACUCAGCUUUUGCUGGCUUCUGGACUCAGGAGCCACAAAGUUCUUCAUUCUUGACUCCUUUUCUGGAGGAAAGCUGCUGUCCCAAAACACUCUGCAUUAAAGUGAGUGGCACAAAUGCCAGCAAGGAGCUGUGUUUGGGAUCCUAUCAUCUCAGACCCCAUCACUGCAAGCCUGCAUCAGCAGUGCUCCAAACCUGCAGCAACAUGUGUAGAAUUGAGAUUGCUCCCAACUGCCGAAACAUUUGACAGGUGGAUGUAUAAUGUCCAGGCAAUAUCACAUAAGUCAUCUUUUCAGCCAAAAAAAUUAAUCAGAUUUGGGUUACAAUGAUGCAAACCCCUUUAUCUCCCUAUCACCACCACUUCUCUCCCUUUUGUAUUUAUUAAGUAAAACUCAAAAUGCUUCUAUUAAAAAAACUUAUUUUUCCUAUGAAAAUAUCUUUUUUAUCUAGCAGGUAGCAAAGAUCUGAAGGGAGGAGUGGUCAUCUCACCUGCCUCAGGCGCUGCUGCACGUAGUCACUCAUCAGAACUGUAAAUGGGUGGUGGAGAUAAAGGCAUUUCUGGUCAGGCUGCAAGCAUAGCCCUGACCUCGUCUCUCGUCAAUACUCAUUACAUGGCUUCAUUCUGAAACCUGGGAUUUAGAGAGUCCCAGCAAAAAGGUGAGGCCGUUCCAGGGCUGCAUCUAUAAGCCCCAGGAAUCUGUCCUCAUACAUUUUCUCAGUCCCUUGCGUGGUAUUAAAUUCUGUGACACCCUCCUUCAGUCUGACUUACUGCAGAUGAGACAAAGAGGGGUAUUUUAGCCAAUCGGGCUUAGGGUAAUUUUGGGAGAAGGUUUUUGGAGGGUGAAUUAGGAAGGCAUAAGCUGUGCAAGGCUGAGCAGUUGAGUUGCAUCUGCCAUAAGGGCCCACAGAAUAUGAAACUGCAUUUGUGGCAGUACAGGUAUAAAAGAAAUGUCAGGGAGAAGGUGCAGCAGGGAGGAGUAUAAACGUAUUAAUUUUGAGUACAGCAUUUGUAUUUGCUGACGUAAUUGGUCUAGAAGUGAAUUAACAAUCCCAGUAGAGAAUACAAUUUGGAGAGUCAUUGAAUUAGAAGAAAUGAAAUCAAAGACAGAGUAGCAUCUCUUAUAUUAAAUAACUGUGGCAGAAACUGUGUUGCAGACAGAUUGAAUGCUGACAGAUCAUCAGAACUGAGUGGUUUUCAUUCAUGACUUUUAAGAGAAAUAGUGGAAUUACUCAUGGUGCUUAAUUCACUUAAUCCUCCAUUGGUGCCUGAAGUCUGCAGAGUAGCAAGGGUGGUGUCUUUCUCUAAAACAGUUUCCACAAGUGUAUCUAAGGUACUGCAGUCUGGUAAAUUUAACUUCUGUAGUAGGUCAAUUAAUUGUAUAACAAAGAAUUGAAUCAAUGAAUGCCUGAUAAAUACAAAAAAUGUCCUUCCUAAAAACCAUCAUGAUUUCUAUUAUGGAAGGUUUUGCUUUAGGAAACUGAUCUCUUUGGAGGGAUAAACAAGCACAGUGGUAAUGGUGAGUCUCUUUGGUUAGGUCAGAAGGCUUUAGAGGGAACUGUACAGUCGUAGGGUAAAAAGAGAAGAUCCUGGUGUGGUUAAAAAUGGGAAACAGUGGGCAGAGUUUCUGGCUGGCUGAUAGAAUGAAGUCACUGUUGGAUGUUAUCUUCAGACCAUCACUGGAAAGUGUUCAGGGAAGGCAAGGAGCAUUGUCAAUGACCAAGUAUGACAGAAGUUUAACUAUGAAUGGUAUGGAGAGCUUGAGUCGGGACUAAGCAUGGCCUGUUUCUUCUCGGUUACCUAGACUUGGAGUGACCCAGUGAGACUGUUGGGACUCAGCUCCAAAACACACAGAAGGAGGUGGCACUUCAUGCAAAGAUAAACAGAACUGGGGAGCUCAUUGGCAAAGGAUGGUGGGGAUGCAAGAAAUUUACAGGGAAAUAAGGGGAGACGUGAUAAGAGAGAUAGAUUGCAGAUUACUAAAUGAACAAAACACACCAGUUUCAGUAGAUCCCCAAAGAUAGAAAUGGUUAAAAGAUAGGGAAUUAUCAUAUAUUUGUUCUGUUCUUAUUGUCCUUUGGGUGUCUGCUUGUGGUCAUUCUUCAGACUUUAAUAUUCAUGCCAAAGAUUGGCAGAAACAGGGAACUUACGUCUAGAUCAAAAUCAGUUCAGCUUCUACAGUAAAUGGCAUUAACUGGUGUUACAUAGCUUUGACCCUUUGGAGAAAUCUAGAUCUGACCUUUCCCAAGCUCUGAUAGAGUAAGAUAACUGUUUCCCAGUCUUUUAUUUGCACAUACUCUAAAUAUUGUUGCUGGGGAUGAGAAUAGCAGUACAGUAAAUACCAGCUUGCUGACAACCAACUAUUUUUUCUUAGUGACCUUUAUGGACUCCUUAAAACUUGUCCACAGGCCCUUAAAGAGUCUUGGACAAUAGCUUGAAGGACAUUGGCUGCACUGUGUAGAGUUCAUCCCUAAUUUUCAAAUUUAUUGCAGGCAGUAGACACCCACUCUUGGAAAAGGACCAAGUAGUCACAAGAGUGAGUCUGAAGCUCACAAAUAAGAGAGAGGUGAGGUUCUCACCAGAGAAAUGUGAGAACCCUGUGUCUACUUCUCUUUGUGACCUGAAAUUUGUGCUCAUCCACUACCAUGUCCAAAGAAUCACAGUGAAGUGUUGAGGUUCUUGGUGACACCAUCAGACCUGCACAGCACACUUUUUCUCUUUUCAAAGGGGGAAAUCAUAUUCCAUCCCCCAGACCAAUCCAAGCCAGUGGUGCUGCUGUGUUUGAGUGGAGCAGACAAACUGCAUGGGUAUCGACUUUGUGCACAUUAACAGCUCCCCAUAGCCCGGGCCAUUUCCUGAGUAGCAAUUUGCAUAGUCACAGGGGAAUAAUUUCCUUGUUUAUUAUUAGAAAAAUUCACCCUUUCCAGUAUGUUUUGAUGCUGUGUUUCAGGACGUCACUGCCUAUCCUAAACUUCUUUGUUAUAUAGGGAUGUGUAGCUGUAGCUUCUUCCAAAUCAAGCAGGUCCUGUUUGCCUCCUGCAGCUGCUCACUUUGUGUCUUCUGCUUGCUCUGUACACCCGAUGCAGUCCUGCCACUCCUUUCCAUGUAGGAAUCAAAUCUGGGCAUCACAGAAGGAGGGAAGAAAGCUCCCAGGACUUUUUAUCCAUACCAUGCCCCCCUGAUCGUGACCAAGCUGCAGUUCCAGGCUGGAGGCAGCACCAGGUGUCAGAACUACAAGAACACUGUGCUGUAAAGGGCUGAGUCUCAGUGACACCUUGCCCCGUGCAUCCCCAGAGGUGGGGAUGGCCAUUCCAGGAUCUGCUGAUCUGCUCCUCCUCUGAGUCUCCCUGAAGCCAGAGGCCUGGAGAAGUCUGCAAGGAUAGCUUGCCUUACAUCUGUUGCACUGUGUUGUUGUGAUUUACCAAAAUAUGAAUAUCGAUCUAAUAUCAAUAUCCAACUGAGACAGACAAAAACUCUCUAACAGUUUAGAGUUAGAAAGUGCAUGUUUUAUUUGGCACCAGGCACUGUGUGGGAUAGCUCCCUAAGACACAGGGCCCCUAUCCAAGCAAACAUGAUACCUUUUAUUUCCAAAUAUUAUGAAUAUCCAAAAUGCAAAUGUAUAUUCCUAAUGUUAACACCUCCCAUUCUCCACUUCGUAUGGAAAUGAGCUUACAUGUCAUAAAG
rnacentral:lncRNA from 1 species